rnacentral:ncRNA from 1 species
AUUCAUCCGUUGCAAAGAAGAGUAAUUUUUUCGCGUGUUGUAGAGACGUUCUGGUUGGUGAAAAGAACGAUACAAGAAAGAAUGAAGAUGGUCUUGAAGGAUAAAUCGUCGAUAAGUAGGCGGUUUCGAAAGGUUCAAUCGUUAUCUUGAACACUUAUUUGCUAAGUUAAGCAUGUAGGGUAAAGGGAAGUGUGAACUUCCAAAAAAAGGUGGUACCGCGAUCAUUCGUCCUUUUA